GCGGCCUAUCAGCUUGUUGGUGAGGUAAUGGCUCACCAAGGCAACGACGGGUAGCUGGUCUGAGAGGACGAUCAGCCACACUGGGACUGAGACACGGCCCAGACUCCUACGGGAGGCAGCAGUGGGGAAUCUUGCGCAAUGGGCGAAAGCCUGACGCAGCAACGCCGCGUGCGGGAUGAAGGCCUUCGGGUUGUAAACCGCUUUCAGCAGGAACGAAAGUGACGGUACCUGCAGAAGAAGGACCGGCCAACUACGUGCCAGCAGCCGCGGUGACACAUAGGGUCCAAGCGUUGUCCGGAUUUAUUGGGCGUAAAGAGCUCGUAGGCGGUUUAUUAAGUCGGGUGUGAAAAUCCUGGGCUCAACCCCGGGCCGCCAUUCGAUACUGUUGUGAGCUAGAGUUUGGUAGGGGAGACUGGAAUUCCU
rnacentral:rRNA from 1 species